rnacentral:lncRNA from 1 species
AUUCCACAAUCGUCUCCUCCCUAUACCCGGGUGAGUGCGCUGCCGGCCGGCGGCACCUUCAGCGGCAGAGCAGCCCCGGCCUGCACCUCCACCAGCGCCGGCGCGACUUCGCGGUGGGGCGGGGGCGUCCCCGAGUCCCAGCGCCGCGCCCCAGGCCCGCCCUCGCGCCUGCGGCCUCACCGCGCGCCGACCCCGAGCCCCAGCCCGCGGAGGUCCGAGAAGGGACCCGGCCGGGGCGCAGAGCCGCGGAGGCCCCGCGCCGCCGCCCAGGCCUCGCGGAGCCCCGGCCUCUCCCCGGCGAGCUGCGGGCAACAAAGGCGGCGGCCCGGGCCGGCGCGCCGCGGCCGAAGAGGCCGAGGGGUCGGGAAGAGCCGCCCGCGGCCGCGCAGGCCUCGGCCCUUCAGGGGCCGCCGCGCCCCGGCCCCGGCUCCCCGGUUCCCGCGUCCCCGCUCCCGGGCCUGGGCCCGGUCCCCGUUCCCUGUUCCCCGGCCCUGGCCCCCGCCCGCGCACCCGCCGAGACGGCGCAGGGCCUCGCGCUGCCCCAGACCCGCCGCUGCAGCCCCGCGCCCGGCGGCCUCCCCGGCCCGGCCCGGCCCGCGCCAGAUCCGCCCCCUGCGCCCCGAGGCGAAAACCAGCCCCGCGGCCGGUGCCCCGCACCGCGAACGAGCCGAAGGCUUACGGCGAAGCCCGGCCCCUGCCUCCCGCCUGGGCUACCCGGACGCUCACCCGGAGGCGGCCCGGCUCCGCUUCCUCGCCCAGCGCCGGCGCGACUGCCGCGCUCGCCUUCUCUCUGCAACUCCUCCUCCCGCCUCCUUCCUCCUCCUCCUCCUCCAGGAGGGGCGCGCAGCCGCGGCGCCUCGGCCCGAGCGGGGAGCGGGUGCCGAGGAGCCGAGCGGGCCGCCCCGCGCCCACUACUCGGGCCCGCGGCGCAGGCGGGGCGUCGGGGCGCGCAGGACUGAGGCCGGGGGCCGCGCGGGGUGGGGCGGGGGCCGGGCACUAAGUGGGGGUUCCAAGGGGUGGGGCGCCGGGCCGGGGUCGUGGGGCGGGCGGGGCGCGGAUCCCUGA